rnacentral:rRNA from 1 species
ACACGCAUGACACACUGCAUAUCAAUAAGCGGAGGAAAAGAAACUAACAAGGAUUCCCUUAGUAACUGGCGAGUGAAGCGGGAAGAGCUCAAAUUUGAAAUCUUCAAGGUUCUACCUUGACGAAUUGUAGUUUAUAGAAGUGUUUUCUGUUAGUAGAGUGGCAAAAGUUCUUUGGAAUAGGACAUCAUAGAGGGUGAGAAUCCCGUAUUUGGUCAUUCUUUCUAGCUUUGUGAUACACUUUCAACGAGUCGGAUUGUUUGGGAAUGCAGUCCAAAAUGGGUGGUAAAUUUCAUCUAAAGCUAAAUAUUGGCGAGAGACCGAUAGCGAACAAGUACCGUGAGGGAAAGAUGAAAAGAACUUUGAAAAGAGAGUUAAACAGUACGUGAAAUUGUCAAAAGGGAAGCGUUUGACACCAGUGUUGUUUUUCCGAAAAUCAAUUACGAAUGUUUUAUUUUUGAGAAGUUAUGACUUCAUCGGCUUGCUUCUUUCUUUACGAAACUUUCUUAAUGCACUUUUCGGUUAACAAGUCAACAUCAAUUUCUUUUGUUGUAAAAGGGUACGAGGAAGGUGGCUUUCUUUUCGGAGAAAGUGUUUAUAGCCUUGUACCUCUGCAAUCGGAGAGAUUGAGGUCUGCAGCGUAGAUCCUUCGGGGUUAGAUACAUUUGUGCUAAGUUAUAGCUUUUCAUAGACAACUUGUUGACUAUGUUAAGUCUUGUAGCUUACUCGCUUAUGCUAUUUUACCUACGCUUAGGAUGUUGAUCUACAGAGCGAGAGU